ensembl:rRNA 5S_rRNA 5S ribosomal RNA
AUCUAUGGUCAUAUCGCCAUGAAUGCACCUGAUCUCAGAAGCUAAUCAGGGUUGGGCCUGGUUAGUACUGGGAUGGUUAAAGGGGGAUUCUCCUUUUGCAUGCAGAGCCAAUAAUGGUG